ACAGCCGCAAUUCGUGCUAAGGUAGCAUAAUAAUUUGUCUUUUAAAUGAAGACCAGAACAAAAGAUUUCACAUUUUAACUGUUUUGUUUUCUAUAAAAAUUUAAAUUUUUCAAAAUGUAAAAAAACAUUUAUUUAAAAGAAAGACGAUAAGACCCUAUUAAACUUAACUUCAGUUAAACUGGGGCAGUAAAUUAAUUAUUAUUUUAAUUUUUUUAAAUUAUUAUUAAUCUAAUAGUAUUAAUAAUUCAGUUACUAUAGGGAUAACAGCGCAAUUAUAUUUUAAAGUGCUCAUUUAAAAGAUAGAUUACGACCUCGAUGUUGAAUUAAUUACCUAAUUAAAGUAAAAAUUAAAUAAGGAAGUCUGUUCGACUUUUUAAAAAUUACAUGAUUUGAGUUCAGACCGGUAUAAGCCAGGUCGGUUUCAAUCUUCUAAAAACUUUCUUACAGUACGAAAGGACCUAAGAAUAUUAUAUAUAAAUUGGCAGAUAAAUGCAUUAGAAUUAGAAUCUAAUAAAACUAAA
rnacentral:rRNA from 1 species